CCAUACAUUCCUCUUUGCAAACGACAGAACGGACCGACUUGCAUAGAGUUGUGUAUUCAAUACAUUGGUUACUUUCCAAGCUUAAGUUCUCUGGUCUUAACUCUUGAUAAGGCUCACAAUGUCCAUGUGGUAUUUUACUUUACACUGUAAGCUCAGCUACACUUUUGUUUUGAAAGUUGUAACCGGAAGCGCUAUAAGGCUUGAGUCUCGCGGAGACGAACUUUUGGUGGACUGUGAACUCGCGACGAGAUGAGUCCGACUGGCCGUGGGUCUUUCCUGUACUAACGUUUAACUUUCCUUCCUACCACCUCUUAAGUUAAUAUAGUGAGAGUCUCCCCUGUUCAGAGGUCAAAUGAAAGCUGUAAUUCUCGCCGCCGGGUACGGAACCAGGCUCCAGAGGGACGUGGCUGCCGACAGCAGCGGGAGGUUCGCUCACCUUGCUGGGACCGCCAAGCCGCUGCUGCCGGUGGGCCGCGGAGCGCUGCUCUCUCUCUGGGUCCGAGCCCUGACCGCGGCUCGCUGCGUGGACUGCAUCCAUGUGGUAACCAACGCUGUUUACCAUGCUGCGUUUGAAGAGUGGGCAUCACAUUUCACAAAUGUCAAGAUUCUCAGCGAUCAGACGACAAGCAAUGAAGGCCGCCUCGGGGCUGUGGCCUGUCUGCAGCUGGCCGUCAAGCACUUCAACAUAGAGGACCAUGUCUUAGUUAUUGGGGGAGACACUCUGUUUAAAGAAGAUUUCAGCCUGAAGAAAGUAAAAGAGAGGUUCAAUGAGCUCCAGGCAGAGAGUGAGGACAGCUGUCUGCUGCUGUCCUACCAGUGCCAAGAGGAGGAAACUAGUAAAUACGGGAUAUUGGAAGUAGACAGUGAUCUUCACGUCCUCUGUAUGAAGGAGAAACCUCUUUCUGCAGAGACACAGUCGAGGAGAGCAGUCUCCCUUGAAAAAGAGAUCUACAGUAUAAUCUCAAUGGGACCAAUCUGGAUAAAUAAAGUGUCCCUGUUUCUAUAUGUUUUCAAAGAAAAGCCUUCCUCUGUUGGAGAACUUCCUUGAAGAGAAGAAGGAGGCUCCCAUUGAAGAGAAAGAUGCCCCAGGAAACUUUGUGUCCUGGCUCAUUCCCAGGAAGCCAGUAUACAUUCAUGAGAUUUCUGGGCGUUUUGAUGUCGGAAACUUGCCGUCCUAUAUUGAAUGUGACCUGUACUUCAGAGAAACACUUCAAGAUGUCGAGUCUUACAUGGUGUAGACUAGGAAACAGAGAUGAACUGAAGCACCAUAUUUAUUUUUGCCAUGUUCAAAAAUGAUCCAAGACCAGCAGAUAAUCAAUCAAUAUUCACAUUCAAUCAAGAAUUGUAACUGUAAAUGUCAUUUUCCAAUUAAUAUUUUCUAUUAAAAAUUGAUUUUUAAAGUCUC